CUCAAAUUACAUGUGGAAAUAUAUUUAAGGAGUCACAUUUGUGAAUGAGCAGUAACGAGUUUGAGUUGCCUUCCCUUCUACUAUUCAUAAAUGUAUAAAAAUUAACAGAUCCUAGAGCUCACAAGGGUCCACAUAUACCUUUUCACGUGCGUGGUUUUCAAGAUUAGCAUCGUGACGAGGGCAGCUGCAAGAAGUCAUAGCAUUGAUAAAGGGAUACGUAAACUUAUAGAAUAGGUAGCUGAAAAUAGAUUUUCAUUGUAAUAUGAAAAAAAUUAAACAGCACAUAAAAGCUAAAGUAACACGCG
rnacentral:lncRNA from 1 species